GAUGAACGCUGGCGGCGUGCCUAAUACAUGCAAGUCGAGCGAACAGACCCGGAGCUUGCUCCUUUCACGUUUGCGGCAGACGGGUGUGUCACAUGUGGAUCACCUCCUUAUCAGACUGGUAUCACUUCGGGAAUCCGGCUCUAAUACCGGAUGAUCUCUUGCACCGCAUGGUUCGUUAGUAAGAGUCGGUUUUGCUGUCUCUUAUAGCUGGUUCCGCGCUGCAUUAGAUAGUUGUUAAGGUACAGGUCUACCAAGGCAACGAUGCGUAGCCGACCUGAGAGGGUGAUCGGCCACCCGAGAAGGGAGACACGGUCCAGACUCCUAAGAGAGGGAGCAGUAGCGAACCUGCCGCAAUGGUCGAAAACCUGGCGGAGCAACGGCGAGUGAGUGAUGACGACCUUCGGUGCGGAAAACUCUGUUAUUAGUGAAGAACAAAAGUGGAAUUAACCAUGCACGUCUUGACGGUACCGAAUCAGAAAGCCACGGCUAACUACGUG
rnacentral:rRNA from 1 species